UACAUGUAUAGGUGUGCUUAUGUGUGUA
rnacentral:piRNA from 1 species